UACGUAGGGUGCAAGGCGUUGUCCGGAAUUAUUGGGCGUAAAGAGCGCGUAGGCGGUCCGGUAAGUCCGCUCUGAAAGUCCGGGGCUACAACCCCGGGAGGCGGGCGGAUACUGUCGGGCUAGAGUCCGGGAAGAGGCGAGUGGAAUUCCUGGUGUAGCGGUGAAAUGCGCAGAUAUCAGGAGGAACACCGAUGGCGAAGGCAGCUCGCUGGGACGG
rnacentral:rRNA from 1 species